rnacentral:rRNA from 1 species
CGCCGCAGGAUGGGUCUGCGGCCGAUUAGGUAGUUGUUGGGGUAACGGCCCAACAAGCCUGUAAUCGGUACGGGUUGUGGGAGCAAGAGCCCGGAGAUGGAUUCUGAGACAUGAAUCCAGGCCCUACGGGGCGCAGCAGGCGCGAAAACUUUACAAUGCGGGAAACCGUGAUAAGGGAACCCCGAGUGCCCGUAGAAUCGGGCUGUUGAUCUGUGUAAAAAGCAGGUAAAGAAAGGGCCGGGCAAGACCGGUGCCAGCCGCCGCGGUAAUACCGGCGGCUCGAGUGGUGGCCACUAUUACUGGGCUUAAAGCGUUCGUAGCUGGGUUGUUAAGUCUCUUGGGAAAUCCACCGGCUCAACCGUCAGGCUUUCAGGAGAUACUGUCUGGCUCGAGGCCGGGAGAGGUGAGAGGUACUUCAGGGGUAGGGGUGAAAUCUUGUAAUCCUUGAAGGACCACCAGUGGCGAAGGCGUCUCACCAGAACGGACCUGACGGCAAGGGACGAAAGCUAGGGGCACGAACCGGAUUAGAUACCCGGGUAGUCCUAGCCGUAAACGAUACUCGCUAGGUGUCGGCCACGGUGCGACCGUUGUCGGUGCCGUAGGGAAGCCGUGAAGCGAGCCACCUGGGAAGUACGGCCGCAAGGCUGAAACUUAAAGGAAUUGGCGGGGGAGCACCACAACGGGUGGAGCUUGCGGUUUAAUUGGAUUCAACGCCGGAAAUCUUACCGGGACCGACAGCAAUAUGAAGGCCAGGCUGAAGACUUUGCCGGAUUAGCUGAGAGGUGGUGCAUGGCCGUCGUCAGUUCGUACUGUGAAGCAUCCUGUUAAGUCAGGCAACGAGCGAGACCCAAAUC